ACUCUUUUAGUUUAUGUUAAAAAUAUGACUUUGAAGAAGUUGGGAAUUUUGGGAGUG
rnacentral:tRNA from 1 species